GACGAAGGUGGCAAGCGUUACUCGGAAUUACUGGGCUUAAAGAGGACGUAGGCGGUCCGGCCAGUCGGAUGUGAAAUCCCUUGGCUCAACUGAGGAAUGGCAUUCGAUACUACCGGACUUGAGGUGCUCAGGGGCGAGUGGAACUCUCGGUGGAGCGGUGAAAUGCGUAGAUGUCGAGAGGAACGCCAAUGGUGAAGACAGCUCGCUGGGGGUAUCCUGACGCUGAGGUCCGAAAGCUAGGGGAGCAAACGGGAUUAGAUACCCUCGUA
rnacentral:rRNA from 1 species